ACACUUUCUGCAAUGCCUACCAUCUCAAGUUAAAAAAAAAAGUCUCAAAUAUUGCCUUAAUAUAAAAUGGCUCGAAUAAGGCAUAUAAUAUUUUUGUCAUAUAAAAUAUUGUAUAUUGACAGCAAUAUCCCAGUGGCUGAUUUAUUGAUAAUAUCUUUGACCUUUAGAACCUUUUUUUUUCUAUUAUAUAUAAGGAAAUACAAACUAGGUAACAGGAAGAAAUGAGAAAAGGUAGAAAGAGACAAUAGUGAAGACUGGUCGACACUGGAGUACAAAAGAUUACUGCAGGAUUGUUCUAUGAAGCUGAUUACAGCAGCUUUAUCUUAUCAAGCUUUGGCAUUGAAGACCAUGUGAAUUCAUCUACAACCCUGGUAGUGAAAUAAGAACAUUUUUUGUUUCUGAAAUUUUAAGCUCUUUGCGGACACACUUUUUACUUAAUCUGCAUGACAUCAGAGAAAGAGACUUACCAGCUUCUGAAACCAAAAGAAGAGCAUCCCAGAGAAAGUAUGCAUGGAAGCACCGAGAAGCACAGAGGGAAUCAAAGCCAAAUGGCUGUAUGUAUCCCAUCUUCAUUGGCUGAAUCCUUCGAGGCUUCAGCCUGCUGUGAAAAAACAUUUCAUUCAUUCCACAGUUUGAUUCACCUGGUUCUUCUUUGGCUUCUCAUGACGAUCUAUCUUCAGAAAAAAGUGCAGUGACCAUGCCACAUGAAUAUGGAAGUCUUUGUAACACAUUUUCAUUAUAUUUUCAUGCUCAUUGA